rnacentral:rRNA from 1 species
GACGAACGCUGGCGGCGUGCUUAACACAUGCAAGUCGAACGGAAAGGCCCUGCUUUUGUGGGGUGCUCGAGUGGCGAACGGGUGAGUAACACGUGAGUAACCUGCCCUUGACUUUGGGAUAACUUCAGGAAACUGGGGCUAAUACCGGAUAGGAGCUCCUGCUGCAUGGUGGGGGUUGGAAAGUUUCGGCGGUUGGGGAUGGACUCGCGGCUUAUCAGCUUGUUGGUGGGGUAGUGGCUUACCAAGGCUUUGACGGGUAGCCGGCCUGAGAGGGUGACCGGCCACAUUGGGCCUGAGAUACGGCCCAGACUCCUACGGGAGGCAGCAGUGGGGAGUAUUGCACAAUGGGCGGAAGCCUGAUGCAGCAACCCCGCGUGCGGGAAGACGGCCUUCGGGUUGUAAACCGCUGUCGCCUGUGACGAAGCGUGAGUGACGGUAAUGGGUAAAGAAGCACCGGCUAACUACGUG